AAGGUAACUCAUCUAACAUCUUCCUUCAAUUUUGUUGUUGUCCCUGGAGUUAGAUAUGAUGCUGCAAUCCUAAUGGCUGCACUGCAAACUUUAUGUUAUGUAUGUAGAGAAUAAUGCACCUCCUCCAAUUGAGGUGGCACCCCCUGAUCCCACCGAUGAGGUUCCUCCACCAGUAGCUCCACCACAAGCUGCAGCUGGAAAUCCUACUCCAAUUCUUCCUGGGACACCUGCAUUGCUACCUUCUGUUCAGGCUCCUGCUCCUUCUGUUGUUCUCAAGCCUAGUCCACCAGUAGCUCCACCACAAGCUGCAGUUGGAAAUCCCACUCCAAUUCUUCCUGGGACACCUGCAUUGCUACCUUCUGUUCAGGCUCCUGCUCCAUCUGUUGUUCUCAAGGCUAAUCCACCAGUCGCGUCACCUCCAUCUGCGAGCAAUCAACCAAGUAGGCCAGUUGGCUCAG
rnacentral:lncRNA from 1 species